ensembl:lncRNA
GUGAGAACAGACGGGUCCAUUUACUACCAAAUCUGUGAAGAAUUUACUGCAGCCAGAACGUGCUUCAAACCAAACCAUCAUCCAGUUCAUGCAGAGUCUGGGAGAAAAGCCUUUACUCACUGAGAAGUGUCUACAUGCCUCAUGUUGUUUGCAUCUGCAGCUCAAGUGGCAGGAGGCGAAGUGAAGAGCAGAUGAAGAAGGAGAAAGAGGAGACAGAAGAGACUCAAUUAUCUUCACCUGCUGGCUGGAUUGUUUCACCGACGUGAUGGACCUCUCGCCUCCCACUGAUGAACGGACUGUUUCCUCAGACAGGGAGAACAGCGAGACUUUAAAACGCUGCCUCUAUAUCUAGCACCAUCUUCUACUUCACCGAUCCACUCUCCAAAUGCAC